UAGUUUGGCAUUUCGUAGUGUAGUU
rnacentral:rRNA from 11 species